GCGAAAUGCUUUAGCUACGAGCUAACGUGAUAGCAUCGUGCUUUAACUGCAUAUAGAAACAAAAAAAUAAAGGAUAGAAGGAAGGAUAGAUAGAAAAUCAACAAUACUAUUAAACCGUGGACAUGUAAAUACACGGUUAAUGCUUUCCAGGCUGGCGAAGGUUAACAAUGCUGUGCUAACGACGCCAUUGAAGCUAACUUAGCAACUUAGCAACGGGACCUCACAGAGCUAUGCUAAAAACAUUAGCUCUCCACCUACGCCAGCCAGCCCUCAUCUACUCAUCAACACCCGUGCUCACCUGCGUUCCAGCGAUCGGCAGAAGGACGAAGGACUUCACCCGAUGCGUUUGGCGGCCCGGAGACGUAGGAAGUCAAGUUUUACAGUAAUUUCAUUUGGAGACUAAACAAUCCCAACCUGGAAGGGUUGGCAAUGGAGAUGGUGUUUGGCCAGUAGAUACCUAGGAGGCGACGGAGGCAGCGGUUGAAGAAUGUCUGUAUUUUGUUGAGUAUGUUGGCGGUGAUCUUCCAGGUUUCUGAACUGUAAAAUUUUAUUUAGGAUCGUGAAUGUGGUCCUUGCUUUUCCAAUUCUGGCACGGACAUCCUCCUCCGUUCCUCCGUCCACAGCAAUUAUGCUUCCUAGGUGAUUUCCUCCACAUCCUGGUCUCGGUACAAGAGCGGCUUCUUGGACGUGAGGUUGCAACUCUUCUCCUCGUUACCCGCCUUGGUGAGCGACGCCGUUUGAAGCUCUUGCAGAGAGAUAAUGGAAAGCUGACGACCCCUGGGAAGGCUUUCUGUCGAUAGUUGUCAUGGUUAUCUUUCACUGGGCCACUUUACCUGCCGGCGUCCCAGGUUGGCAGAUGUCGGCCCCGCUCACGGUCACCACGGUGGAGGCCGCCGUUUGUCUGGGCUCCUCGUCGGUGACGAUUCGCAGCCUGGCGCUCUCGAAAACAGACUUGAUGACGAUGGAGUCCUCGUAGAUCUGCGGAAGCAAAGAGAGAGCAGGUGUUUAUUUAGGGCAGACGGCACCAUUGUUGGGCCGUGAUUGCCCCCUAGAGGUUCUCAAAAAAAAUCAGAUUCUCAGCUGUGGUCCAAUGGGCCGCAGCGGUGCUCAGUUGUAAUACACUUUUCCAUCACUUGUGGCGGUAAUGACAAUAUUAAACAAACAGAAUAAGUCUGGAGCUAAAGUCAGAGAAGUUUCUUCAGCGCAAAAAAUAUGACUAAAGUGGUGAAUCUGCAUUUUUAUUUGCACUUUAAUUUUAUUGGCAGUUAAGAAAAAUUUAUUAAUAUAGUUUCUUUAUUUUAGCACAAUGUAAUUGUACGUACAUUUAUUUUUUGUCAGUUAUUCAUGAGCCCCUUCUUAUGCAGUAUAUUUGGUUUGUACGUAUUUUUCUAAUCAGCCUGACCUAAC